rnacentral:rRNA from 1 species
UACGUAGGGGGCUAGCGUUGUCCGGAAUCAUUGGGCGUAAAGAGCGUGUAGGCGGCCCGGUAAGUCCGCUGUAAAAGUCAAAGGCUCAACCUUUGAAUGUCAGUGGAUACUGCCGGGCUAGAGUCCGGAAGAGGCGAGUGGAACUCCUGGUGUAGCGGUGGAAUGCGUAGAUAUCAGGAGGAACACCGGUGGCGAAGGCGGUUCUCUGGGCAUGUCCUGACGCUGAGGAGCGAAAGCGUGGGGAGCGAACAGG